AACGAACGCUGGCGGCAUGCCUAACACAUGCAAGUCGAACGAGACCUUCGGGUCUAGUGGCGCACGGGUGCGUAACGCGUGGGAACCUGCCUUUAGGUUCGGAAUAACUCAGAGAAAUUUGAGCUAAUACCGGAUGAUGUCUUCGGACCAAAGAUUUAUCGCCCUUAGAUGGGCCCGCGUUGGAUUAGCUAGUUGGUGGGGUAAAGGCCUACCAAGGCGACGAUCCAUAGCUGGUCUGAGAGGAUGAUCAGCCACACUGGGACUGAGACACGGCCCAGACUCCUACGGGAGGCAGCAGUGGGGAAUAUUGGACAAUGGGCGAAAGCCUGAUCCAGCAAUGCCGCGUGAGUGAUGAAGGCCUUAGGGUUGUAAAGCUCUUUUACCCGAGAUGAUAAUGACAGUAUCGGGAGAAUAAGCGCCGGCUAACUCCGUG
rnacentral:rRNA from 1 species